rnacentral:rRNA from 1 species
AUUUUCCGGUUGAUCCUGCCGGAGGUCAUUGCUAUUGGAGUCCGAUUUAGCCAUGCUAGUUGUACGAGUUUAGACUCGUAGCAGAUAGCUCAGUAACACGUGGCCAAACUACCCUAUCGAGCACGAUACCCUCGGGAAACUGAGGCUAAUAGUGCAUACGGCUCGCUGCCUGGAGUGGCACGAGCCCGAAAUGCUCAGGCGCGAUAGGAUGUGGCUGCGGCCGAUUAGGUAGACGGUGGGGUAACGGCCCACCGUGCCAGUAAUUGGUACGGGUUGUGAGAGCAAGAGCCCGGAGACGGUAUCUGAGACAAGAUACCGGGCCCUACGGGGCGCAGCAGGCGCGAAACCUUUACACUGCACGAGAGUGCGAUAAGGGGACUCCAAGUGCGAGGGCAUAUAGUCCUCGCUUUUUCCGACCGUAGGAUGGUCGGCGAAUAAGUGCUGGGCAAGACCGGUGCCAGCCGCCGCGGUAAUACCGGCAGCACAAGUGAUGACCGCUAUUAUUGGGCCUAAAGCGUCCGUAGCUGGCCACGCAAGUCCAUCGGGAAAUCUCUCCGCUCAACGGAGAGGCGUCCGGUGGAAACUGUGUGGCUUGGGACCGGAAGAUCCAGAGGGUACGUCUGGGGUAGGAGUGAAAUCCCGUAAUCCGAGACGGACCACCGGUGGCGAAAGCGCUCUGGAAAGACGGAUCCGACGGUGAGGGACGAAAGCUCGGGUCACGAACCGGAUUAGAUACCCGGGUAGUCCGAGCUGUAAACGAUGUCUGCUAGGUGUGACACAGGCUACGAGCCUGUGUUGUGCCGUAGGGAAGCCGUGAAGCAGACCGCCUGGGAAGUACGUCCGCAAGGAUGAAACUUAAAGGAAUUGGCGGGGGAGCACCACAAGGGUGAAGCCUGCGGUUCAAUUGGAGUCAACGCCGGAAU